GGCUAGGACCUAAAUACCCAAAAGGCACCAGAUCCUGUCUGCUCUUGGAAGUUAAGCAGAGUUAUCCGUGGUUAGUACUUCAAUGGGAGACUGCCAAUAAAUACCAGGUGCUGUAGGCC
rnacentral:rRNA from 1 species